GACGAACGCUGGCGGCGUGCUUAACACAUGCAAGUCGAACGGUAAGGCCCUUUCGGGGGUACACGAGUGGCGAACGGGUGAGUAACACGUGGGUGAUCUGCCCUGCACUUUGGGAUAAGCCUGGGAAACUGGGUCUAAUACCGGAUAGGACUACGCGAUGCAUGUCGUGUGGUGGAAAGCUUUUGCGGUGUGGGAUGGGCCCGCGGCCUAUCAGCUUGUUGGUGGGGUGAUGGCCUACCAAGGCGACGACAGGUAGCCGGCCUGAGAGGGUGUCCGGCCACACUGGGACUGAGAUACGGCCCAGACUCCUACGGGAGGCAGCAGUGGGGAAUAUUGCACAAUGGGCGCAAGCCUGAUGCAGCGACGCCGCGUGGGGGAUGACGGCCUUCGGGUUGUAAACCCCUUUCAGCACAGACGAAGCGUAAGUGACGGUAUGUGCAGAAGAAGCACCGGCCAACUACGUG
rnacentral:rRNA from 1 species